UCCUGCAUUCUUUCGUCAAUGGAGGCUCCUCCACGGCAUCGAAUCCUUUCUCAAGCAUCUAUGGUGUCGAGGGUCCCAAGAAAUAACAGGAUGAAAUGUGGAAACAUGCUGAGAUUUGUAAAGGUUACGAAGGAGAGAAUAUGGCCUUAGGAAAGAUGCUUGCAGCAACAAAAAUACAACCAACACAAUGGAUCUGAAUCUCUUUAACACUAAGGCCAGCGUGAUGAACUCUGUUCCAUGUCAUGAUUACUAUAAGAGGUCAGGAAUUUUUAGGUGAUAAAAAUAUGUCCUAUAGUAGUUUGUCCAAAGACAGUGAUAGUAAUAAAUCCUCUUGUAGAACUUGGGCUUAGUUCUCCUACUGUUUUGUUUUCAGUCUGUAAGGAGGCGGAGAUGGUCCUCUACCAACUUCCUUGAUACUCUCCGUGGAUCAGGACAGUGCCUAGAGACAAGUUUAUGAGUUGGCUCUGACCCAGUGGACUGGUUGUUGGGAUAGGUAGCUCCCCCUUCUUCCUUUCCCCAUGUGC